AAAUUGUUGAAAGGGAAGCGCUUGUGACCAGACUUGCGCCGGGCGGCUCAUCAGGGGUUCUCCCCUGUGCACUCCGCCCGGCUCAGGCCAGCAUCGGUUCUCGUGGGGGGAUAAGAACGGCGGGAACGUGGCCCCCCUCCGGGGGGGUGUUAUAGCCCGCCGUACGAUACCCUCGUGGGGACCGAGGUUCGCGCUCCGCAAGGAUGCUGGCGUAAUGGUCAUCAGCGACCCGUCUUGAAACACGGACCAAGGAGUCGUCCAUUAGAGCGAGCGUUUGGGUGUAAAACCCGCACGCGUAAUGAAAGUGAACGCAGGUGAGAGCUUCGGCGCAUCAUCGACCGAUCCUGAUGUCUUCGGAUGGAUUUGAGUAAGAGUUUUAACGGACGGACCCGAAAGACAGUGAACUAUGCUUGUAUAGGGUGAAGCCAGAGGAAACUCUGGUGGAGGCUCGCAGCGGUUCUGACGUGCAAAUCGAU
rnacentral:rRNA from 2 species